ACGCUGGCGGCAGGCUUAACACAUGCAAGUCGAACGGUAACAGGGAUUAGCUUGCUAAUUUGCUGACGAGUGGCGGACGGGUGAGUAAUGCUUGGGAAUCUGGCUUAUGGAGGGGGAUAACUACGGGAAACUGUAGCUAAUACCGCGUAAUAUCGGAAGAUUAAAGGGUGGGACUUUCGAGCCACCUGCCAUAAGAUGAGCCCAAGUGGGAUUAGGUAGUUGGUUAGGUAAAGGCUGACCAAGCCGACGAUCUCUAGCUGGUCUGAGAGGAUGACCAGCCACACUGGAACUGAGACACGGUCCAGACUCCUACGGGAGGCAGCAGUGGGGAAUAUUGCACAAUGGGGGAACCCUGAUGCAGCCAUGCCGCGUGAAUGAAGAAGGCCUUCGGGUUGUAAAGUUCUUUCGGUGACGAGGAAGGUUGAUAGGUUAAUAGCCUAUCAAAUUGACGUUAAUCACAGAAGAAGCACCGGCUAACUCCGUGCCAGCAGCCGCGGUAAUACGGGGGGUGCGAGCGUUAAUCGGAAUAACUGGGCGUAAAGGGCACGCAGGCGGUGACUUAAGUGAGAUGUGAAAGCCCCGAGCUUAACUUGGGAAUUGCAUUUCAUACUGGGUCGCUAGAGUACUUUAGGGAGGGGUAGAAUUCCACGUGUAGCGGUGAAAUGCGUAGAGAUGUGGAGGAAUACCGAAGGCGAAGGCAGCCCCUUGGGAAUGUACUGACGCUCAUGUGCGAAAGCGCGGGGAGCAAACAGGAUUAGAUACCCUGGUAGUCCACGCUGUAAACGAUGUCGAUUUGGGGAUUGGGCUUUGAGCUUGGUGCCCGUAGCUAACGUGAUAAAUCGACCGCCUGGGGAGUACGGCCGCAAGGUUAAAACUCAAAUGAAUUGACGGGGGCCCGCACAAGCGGUGGAGC
rnacentral:rRNA from 1 species